rnacentral:rRNA from 1 species
GACGAACGCUGGCGGCGUGCCUAAUACAUGCAAGUAGAACGCUGAAGGGAGGAGCUUGCUCUUCUUGGAUGAGUUGCGAACGGGUGAGUAACGCGUAAGUAACCUGCCUUGUAGCGGGGGAUAACUAUUGGAAACGAUAGCUAAUACCGCAUAAAAAUGGAUGACACAUGUCAUUUAUUUGAAAGGGGCAAUUGCUCCACUACAAGAUGGACCUGCGUUGUAUUAGCUAGUAGGUGAGGUAAUGGCUCACCGAGGCGGCGAUACAUAGCCGACCUGAGAGGGUGAUCGGCCACACUGGGAAUGGGACACGGCCCAGACUCCUACGGGAGGCAGCAGUAGGGAAUCUUCGGCGAUGGGGGCAACACUGACCGAGCAACGACGCGUGGGUGGAGAAGGUUUUCGGAUCGUAAAGAUCUGUUGUAAGUGAAGAAAGAGUGUGAGAGUGGAAAGUUCACCCUGUGACGGUAGCUUAACAGAAAGGGACGGCUAACUACGUG